GCAAAAUUUUCACUUAACAUCAAAUAUCUGUUGAUGAUAUAAAUGAGGCAGUGCACUCCCAAAGUCCUGGCCGCUUGGCAUCUCUAUCCACAAGCCUUUGUAUUAUCAAAAUCGGUCAUAUUCUCAAAGUGGUUUUGUUCACCAUCAUUUCUUUUUUCAUUGUAAUUUUGCCAUUCUCUUUAGCUCUGCAUAUCAUGUUAGACAGUAAUGGAGAGUUA
rnacentral:misc_RNA from 1 species